UACGGGGGGAGCAAGCGUUGUUCGGAUUUACUGGGCGUAAAGGGCGCGUAGGCGGCACUGUAAGUCAGUUGUGAAAUCUCCGGGCUUAACCCGGAAAGGUCAACUGAUACUGCAGGGCUAGAGUGCAGAAGGGGCAACUGGAAUUCUCGGUGUAGCGGUGAAAUGCGUAGAUAUCGAGAGGAACACCUGCGGCGAAGGCGGGUUGCUGGGCUGACACUGACGCUGAGGCGCGAAAGCCAGGGGAGCGAACGGG
rnacentral:rRNA from 1 species